rnacentral:rRNA from 1 species
ACGGGGACCCGCACAAGCGGUGGAUUAUGUGGAUUAAUUCGAUGCAACGCGAAAAACCUUACCUACCCUUGACAUGUCCUGAAGCCUGGAGAGAUCCGGGUGUGCCCGAAAGGGAACGGGAACACAGGUGCUGCAUGGCUGUCGUCAGCUCGUGUCGUGAGAUGUUGGGUUAAGUCCCGCAACGAGCGCAACCCUUGUCAUUAGUUGCUACAUUUAGUUGGGCACUCUAAUGAGACUGCCGGUGACAAACCGGAGGAAGGUGGGGAUGACGUCAAGUCCUCAUGGCCCUUAUGGGUAGGGCUUCACACGUAAUACAAUGGCGCGUACAGAGGGUUGCCAAGCCGCGAGGUGGAGCCAAUCCCAGAAAGCGCGUCGUAGUCCGGAUUGCAGUCUGCAACUCGACUGCAUGAAGUCGGAAUCGCUAGUAAUCGCGGAUCAGCAUGUCGCGGUGAAUACGUUCCCGGGCCUU